UUUUAUCGUCUGAACUCUAUAAAUCACCCCAUCCUAAACCAGCCGAAUCCAACCAAAAUCCCCUUCCCAAACCCAAUCUUUUCUCUCAGACAUUACUCUCUCAAUAGCAUCUCUCUAUGAUCCUCUGUGUUCUUAUAAAACAUAACAUUAGGAGGAUACGAAAAGAUGCAAUAUCAAAGGGAUUAGAGGUUUUUCUCCGGCAUUUGCAGUAUAAGGGGGCAGGAGUAGGGGCAGAGGCAGAGGAUAAGCUGGAUAACAACUUCUCUGCCAGCACUUGAUUUGCUGCAUCUGAUGGAUGGAAUGCAUCCCAAAAUACAUAGUCGUUGCGUUCAUUGCACAAUUUUGAGUUUGGCAAGCAUAAACCCCCAAUGCUUGUAUCAACGUUGCAGCAUGAUGUAUUAGAAAUCUUAAAACCUGAAAAAUGAAGGAGAGACAGAGAGAGGGAUUGAAUUAGUUUCAUAACAAUUAACGAGUACUGGAAGAAAGGCAAGCUCCAUAGAGUCAUUUGAAGGACAAUGGUCAAAGAAUAGGAUAAAAGAGGAUAUACCAUAGGUUGAGGGGUUGUCGAUCAAGUCAAGAACUGCUGGAUAUGUAUCUGCAAAAAUCAUCUGUGCAUUCGGGACGCGUCUGUUUAUAGAA